CUCACAAACGGUAGUCCACACACACACACACACACACACACACACACACCUUAAACACACACUCACCCCUCUGAACACCAUGACCAUGUGGGGAACACAAUGUCCGCGCAGCCGCCCAUGCCACGCACGCAGCUGGAAGCAAAAACAUCUGUCAAGUAGCUGCGUUGCUGACACCGAGGCGGGAGGCAGUCACGAGGAAAAAAAUCUAUCGCUUCCUUUGAGGCCUGAUUUAAUUCCUCCACUUCCUUGUACCUGUGCCGGAGCCCUUGGAAUCACAUUGUUACUGGAGGUGGAGUUAAGCCAAAAGCAAAGCGUGGACUCUGAGACUGUUGUCGUAGGAACUGCUUUAUCUACCACCAGCUGUGCUUCUCCUCUGACUGCCAAAUGAGUCCUGCCAUGUUCACAAAAACAGGCGAGAAGUCCUACCACCCCCUUCAUCAAAGAGAUCCUCAAGUGCCAGCCCAUCCUGCCCCAGACGGGGAGAAAGAUGAAGCCAGGUGUCUUCUGUCUCUGGCCAAGACCAAAGGACCGUGGUCCGUGCCAGCAUCCUCUUGACCUCCAGGAUGCCGGGAAAGGCUGGGCUCCCCUCUGGCUCUUUGCUGCAGCCCAACCCUGCAGGACAUGUUUGUGUUUCCACUAAAACGAGACCAGUGGGGGCUGUGCGCAUACACAAACCUUACCAUCACCUCCUUUGGUCCUCCAGGCAGGAUUUACGUCUAUCUGUUGAUUCUGAGUCGGAUGCGGACUGGGCUGGAGGUGCAGAAAGAGCCGAGAGGAAAGAAGAGUCACAGGAUCGGGGGCUGAUGGAACUUUAAGCAGGGUACGGUGUUUUUCCUUCUUGCUUCCCUCAAGACUUUUUUAUCUUUUUAAUGUAACUUUUUUUUCCUGCCAUUUGGACAUGGUAUGCCUGGGUAUAGAUUUGCUCACAGGCUCCUGCUCUGGCGGUUGUGACUCUCUGUAUCUGCCCCUCUCUCCAGUUCCGGGGCCGCAGUUCGCCUUGUCACCUCAAACCUCUGACAAGUAGUCCAGGUGCUUUCUUUGAACGCUAUAAAGUCACAAUCCUUGACUUUGUCCACAACGAAAAUUCUAUCAUUCACCUGUAAUCACCAAGAAAGAUUACACAAAAACAGCAGCAGUUACAUAUAGAAAUUACACAUUAUAGACUUAAUAGAUUCCAGCCUAGCACUUAGCCUGUGGCUUGUAGCUUGUAGCUUGCAUUUGGUUUAAGAGGAUUAGAAGAAGUGUAGAAUUCAGUCUAAAUUGUUCAGAUUCGUGUCCAAUUUGUAGAUUCUUAGUGGAGGAAAAUCUGUUUGAUUUGGCUUUCACAUGGUCCACCUGUUUUAAUGAAGGCUCCACUGAUUAGGCUUUUACCAGGUUCCCGUAUCUCAGUCAGAGCGGUAGAAAUGCUGUGGGUCGGAUGGGGAGGCAGUGCAGUGGAGCAGCGAGAACACUGCCGGAGGAGUCAGAACACCCAGACUCCAAUUCAUCGUGGACACGAUACUGCAUCGGUGUAUCAACUCAUUCAGUUAUCCUGGAUAUUCCCUUGUCUUGAAAAGAGGUAAUGAAGUCAGACUUACAUAAAAACCAAGGACAUAGCAAGGAAAAAUGGAAUUAGCUUACUUAAAAUAAUAUACCAUUGAUCCUUAAAAAAAAACAAAAACAAAAACACCUAAAUAUAACCCAAACCAAGAAGUGGGAAAAAAAAUGAUUACCAAGGUUGUCAAGUUCUUAAGGUUCAAAAGUUACCCGAGUCCUUAACAAUCCUCAGUAAAAUGUAUAGCCCAUGCCAAUUCCAGGGACCGAAAUUUUAAAUGUUUUAAAAUUUACUCCUGAACAAGUAAUAGUAUACAAAUUUUAUUAAAUAACUGCCAAGGCUCUUGGGUAUAAACAAACUCUUGAACUUAGAACUUGGAAGAAUUAUUUGUAUAUUUUAGAAUUGUGUACUUUUUUAAAGCUAUUAUUUACUACAUGGUAUUCAAAUGUGUUUGAAAAGCUGGAGAAACGUAAUCUCGCAGAAGAGUGAGUACAGGUGAAAAAAGUCAACCUGAUUACUCAGACAUCUACAAUGACACCUGGUGAAUGCAGUAAGACUCACGCCCUGGGAAAGUACCAGGAUUAGUUAUUACUGUACAAAAGCAGAAAACUUGAAACAGUUUGCUUUUCGUUUUCAUCUGCAACCCGAGUAAAUAGGAGUUACUUAGAAGAAUCCUUGAUUGUACAGUGUUUUUUUGAAGUUGGUAUUGAAGGCCAAAAUGUGUAGACUAUUUGCAUCUAAGCUGAUGUUCUCAGAAAAAAGUUACCAACAUUUUAAAGGAAACUGGCAAUCAUUCUAAACCCAGGUUCAUCCAUAACUCUUCACAUUAAUAUUUUAUUCUCCAUAAACAAAAGUCUGUUAGUACUUUUUUAAAAGGCAACCAAUAUAUUUAAUUGCCUCAGGAUGGCCAUUAUUAAGCAGUAACAGGAGGUGCU